AUUGAACGCUGGCGGCAUGCCUUACACAUGCAAGUCGAACGGCAGCACGGACUUCGGUCUGGUGGCGAGUGGCGAACGGGUGAGUAAUGUAUCGGAACGUACCUUUCAGUGGGGGGAUAACGUAGCGAAAGUUACGCUAAUACCGCAUAUUCUGUGAGCAGGAAAGCAGGGGAUCGCAAGACCUUGCGCUGAUUGAGCGGCCGAUAUCAGAUUAGCUAGUUGGUGAGGUAAAGGCUCACCAAGGCGACGAUCUGUAGCGGGUCUGAGAGGAUGAUCCGCCACACUGGAACUGAGACACGGUCCAGACUCCUACGGGAGGCAGCAGUGGGGAAUUUUGGACAAUGGGGGCAACCCUGAUCCAGCCAUGCCGCGUGAGUGAAGAAGGCC
rnacentral:rRNA from 1 species